GUGACUUAUGCCUGUAAUCCUAGCUACUCAGGAGGCUCAGACCUGAAGAAUUGUGGUAUGAAGCCAGCUAGAGCAGAAAAGUUGGAGAGACUCCAUUUUCAAUUAACCAGCAA